CUACGGGUGGCUGCAGUGGGGAAUCUUGCGCAAUGGACGAAAGUCUGACGCAGCGACGCCGCGUGGACGAUGAAGGCCCUAGGGUCGUAAAGUCCUGUCGUAGGGAAAGAAACCGGGAAACCGCUGACGGUACCCUACAAGAAAGCACAGGCUAACUCCGUGCCAGCAGCCGCGGUAAUACGGAGUGUGCGAGCGUUGUUCGGAAUUACUGGGCGUAAAGCGCGUGUAGGCGGCUUGGAAAGUCGGGUGUGAAAUCCCGGGGCUCAACCCCGGAACUGCAUUCGAAACUUCCUGGCUUGAGUUCGGGAGGGGAUGGUGGAAUUCCGAGUGUAGAGGUGGAAUUCGUAGAUAUUCGGAGGAACACCCGUGGCGAAGGCGACCAUCUGGACCGAUACUGACGCUGAGACGCGAAAGCGUGGGUAGCAAACAGGAUUAGAUACCCGUGUAGUC
rnacentral:rRNA from 1 species